GACGAACGCUGGCGGCGUGCUUAACACAUGCAAGUCGAACGGUGAAGCGCCUUCCUUUUUGGUGGGUGUGGAUGAGUGGCGAACGGGUGAGUAACACGUGAGUAACCUGCCCCCUUCUUCUGGAUAACCGCAUGAAAGUGUGGCUAAUACGGGAUAUUCUGGGUCUGUCGCAUGAUGGGUCUGGGAAAGAUAUUGUUUCGGUGGGGGAUGGGCUCGCGGCCUAUCAGCUUGUUGGUGGGGUGAUGGCCUACCAAGGCGGUGACGGGUAGCCGGCCUGAGAGGGUGGACGGUCACACUGGGACUGAGACACGGCCAAGACUCCUACGGGAGGCAGCAGUGGGGAAUAUUGCACAAUGGGCGCAAGCCUGAUGCAGCGACGCCGCGAGAGGGAUGGAGGCCUUCGGGUUGUGAACCUCUUUCGCCAGUGAAGCAGGCCUGCCUCGUUUGUGGGUGGGUUGACGGUAGCUGGAUAAGAAGCGCCGGCUAACUACGUG
rnacentral:rRNA from 1 species